rnacentral:rRNA from 1 species
UCAGGUUGAUAGGUCUGAGGUGGAAGUGUGGCGACACAUGGAGCUGACAGAUACUAAUCGAUCGAGGACUUAACCUAAUUUCUA